ACAAGCGGCGGAGCAUGUGGAUUAAUUCGAUGCAAACGCGAAGAACCUUUACUGGGUUUGACAUACACCGGAAAACCGUAGAGAUACGGUCCCCCUUGUGGUCGGUGUACAGGUGGUGCAUGGCUGUCGUCAGCUCGUGUCGUGAGAUGUUGGGUUAAGUCCCGCAACGAGCGCAACCUUUGUCUUAUGUUGCCAGCACGUGAUGGUGGGGACUCGUAAGAGACUGCCGGGGUCAACUCGGAGGAAGGUGGGGACGACGUCAAGUCAUCAUGCCCCUUAUGUCCAGGGCUUCACACAUGCUACAAUGGCCAGUACAGAGGGCUGCGAGACCGUGAGGUGGAGCGAAUCCCUUAAAGCUGGUCUCAGUUCGGAUCGGGGUCUGCAACUCGACCCCGUGAAGUCGGAGUCGCUAGUAAUCGCAGAUCAGCAACGCUGCGGUGAAUACGUUCCCGGGCCUU
rnacentral:rRNA from 1 species